UUCAUCCAGAGCAAUCGAGGGAAUGGCCCUAUGACGUUGCGGCAACCCCCUACGCGGGAAGGUGCCAAGUCCAGCGGAAUGUAUCCGGCAGAUGA
rnacentral:ncRNA from 1 species